rnacentral:rRNA from 1 species
GGUAGUCCACGCCGUAAACGAUGUCGACUUGGAGGUUGUGCCCUUGAGGCGUGGCUUCCGGAGCUAACGCGUUAAGUCGACCGCCUGGGGAGUACGGCCGCAAGGUUAAAACUCAAAUGAAUUGACGGGGGCCCGCACAAGCGGUGGAGCAUGUGGUUUAAUUCGAUGCAACGCGAAGAACCUUACCUACUCUUGACAUCCAGAGAACUUAGCAGAGAUGCUUUGGUGCCUUCGGGAACUCUGAGACAGGUGCUGCAUGGCUGUCGUCAGCUCGUGUUGUGAAAUGUUGGGUUAAGUCCCGCAACGAGCGCAACCCUUAUCCUUUGUUGCCAGCGGUUAGGCCGGGAACUCAAAGGAGACUGCCAGUGAUAAACUGGAGGAAGGUGGGGAUGACGUCAAGUCAUCAUGGCCCUUACGAGUAGGGCUACACACGUGCUACAAUGGCGCAUACAAAGAGAAGCGACCUCGCGAGAGCAAGCGGACCUCAUAAAGUGCGUCGUAGUCCGGAUUGGAGUCUGCAACUCGACUCCAUGAAGUCGGAAUCGCUAGUAAUCGUAGAUCAGAAUGCUACGGUGAAUACGUUCCCGGGCCUUGUACACACCGCCCGUCACACCAUGGGAGUGGGUUGCAAAAGAAGCAGGUAGCUUAACCUUCGGGAGGGCGCUUACCACUUUGUGAUUCAUGACUGGGGUGAAGUCGUAACAAGGUAACCGUAGGGGAACCUGC